GCUGGACCCACAUUCUGAGAGCUGAGGGUAUAUUUUCCUUCCAGACCAGCUUGUCCAUCUCAGCUUAGUUCACACAAACAUUGAACCCUUAUCCAAUGACAAUCUGCUAACCCACAGAAUAGGAAACUUCUAGAUCAGCACACCCAUUGCAAGUUGGAAACCCAAAGAUUGAAGUGAGUCUGUGUCGUUUGUCACCAGAGUUCCACUGUCAUGUGGCAGCACCUGCCUCUCUGAGCCUCACACUGGCGAGUCCUUUGACUGGAUGAGAACUGGACGUGGUCACCGCGUCAGGGAUGGGCGUAGAGAGAACCACGGGCAGCACCUCUCGCUGUGGCGUGAACCUGUAAAAGGAGCCCAUGCUCUCCACAGAUGGAGGCAUCCGGUGCUGGGGUGGCAGGUUGGUCAGGCAGGGCGUGGGCUAGAUUCCAGCCCCCAAGGCCCCCUCUGUGGACAACCUAUGCAGACCACGCUGUGCACGACGUUGAAGGCUGCAACCCAGGGCAGCAUCAGCCACUAAUAAUCCCAUCAUGAAGGUAACAGAAUGCUAAAAAGGGAAACUUUGGGCACAAAGCUGCUUUCACUUUGGAAGUCCAAAGCAAGCAGAAGAAGUGUUCACAAGAAAUGGUCAGAUCCACGACUUCGAGCCUUCUCAGCUCCUGGAGAACACAGAGUCAGCUUGCCGAGAGACAGGAUUGUGACGAGAGGAUUUUCUGAGAGAAGUCUCUUUAGAGAAAGCUGUGCUUCUGGAAGGACAGCAACCUUAGGACAGACUAUUUCCUAAGAGGAGCAGAGAAGUCAGCGUCUGCCAGCGUUUUCAUCCAGGGCCAGGGAACAUUAAUCUCACUGAAUAAAUUUUAAAGGGGCCGUAUAAAACAAGCGCUAAAGCUGCGUUCCGAUUGCACCGCGAGGCGUGUUUGUUCAACAGACUCGUUGCAAAAGCUGCUGAAAACAUCUCAGUGGAACUGAGAGUAGCUGAGUUCCCGUGAAAGGAAAAAAUGCAAAUUUGUUUUCGGUAUCACUUUAAGCUUCCUGAGUGGAGCCCUUGGCCUGGACUGACUCGCAUUGACGUCAGCCCAAGUUAGCCAUAUCGGAGCAGCUGUUUGCUUCCUCCCUCCCUCGGCCCCUGGUGCAGAAAACACACUGGUUUUGUUUCAUGGGAGAUUAAAAACAUUCGCUGCUGCAUCCAUAACUCACAGCCCCUGUUAGCGCUGGGACCAGGAAUACUGAACCAGAAAUACUUAGCCCCCUACUCAAAACCAAGAGGAAACCCACAGAGAGACGCCAGAGACAGGAUUAUGCAUCAGCUGGGACCCGGCCCAGGCCCCGGUCACAACAUCCUUUCCCGUUCUCCUGGAACACAAGGCGACAGAUCUGUACGCCACAUUUGGGACUCUCAGAAACUGUUCAAACACGGUCAUAUGCAUGUGUUUUGUCCACACACAUCCUAGAGGAGACACGGCAAGGGUGAACCCCACCUUGUCUCUCAUCUCACAGCAAAGUAGCAGCAAACCAAGGUGAAAACAAGCCCCUGGCCCCUCCCAGGGUCACUCAGGGGCCGAUGUUGAUGGUGGCAAUGCUGACCGCCAUGCGGCUGGCCCUGGAACUGUGGUCAAGACCCUGACUCUACCGUGGACCUUCUGGACUCUUCCAGCAUCAGGGAGGAGGCCCUGGUGGGCAAAGCCCAGCUGAGACAGCUCCUGCAGCACAAAGCAGGGUCCUCUCCAGAAAUCCUGAUGGCAUGGAUCGUUUGUCAAGCCGGUAGAUAAUUCCACACCUUUCCAAUGGUGCUGGUCAGACACAUCCCGUAGGUACCUGUGUUUGGAACAUGCAUUAAAAUGCAUGGCAGCAG
rnacentral:lncRNA from 1 species